rfam:Microgenomates (Amesbacteria) bacterium GW2011_GWC2_47_8 TY11_C0027, whole genome shotgun sequence.
UGGGAGAUCGGCUAACGGUAGGCCCUCAGACUCUGAAUCUGAUAAUCUAGGUCCGAAUCCUAGUCUCCCAG